GGAGGAAUAUUGGUCAAUGGGCGUGAGCCUGAACCAGCCAAGCCGCGAGAUGAAGGUAGAAGGGUCAGGCAUCGUAAACUUCUUUUGCCGGGGAACAAUAAGCGGGACUAGUCCCGCGACGAGUGUACCCGGAGAAAAAGCAUCGGCUAACUCCGUGCCAGCAGCCGCGGUAAUACGGAGGAUGCGAGCGUUAUCCGGAUUUAUUGGGUUUAAAGGGUGCGUAGGCGGCAUUGCAAGUCGGCGGUGAAAGACCAUGGCUCAACCAUGGCGAGCCGUCGAAACUGCGGGCGCUUGAGAGGACGAGAGGUACGCGGAAUGCGCGGUGUAGCGGUGAAAUGCAUAGAUAUCGCGCAGAACUCCGAUUGCGAAGGCAGCGUACCGGUGUCUUUCUGACGCUGAGGCACGAAAGCGUGGGGAUCGAACAGGAUUAGAUACCC
rnacentral:rRNA from 1 species